GAAACUGGCAANCUAGANUNUNNUNGAGGGGGGUAGAAUUCCAGGUGUAGCGGUGAAAUGCGUAGAGAUCUGGAGGAAUACCGGUGGCGAAGGCGGCCCCCUGGACAAAGACUGACGNUCAGGUGCGAAAGCGUGGGGAGCAAACAGGAUUAGAUACCCUGGUAGUCCACGCUGUAAACGAUGUCGAUUUGGAGGUUGUGCCCUUGAGGCGUGGCUUCCGGAGCUAACGCGUUAAAUCGACCGCCUGGGGAGUACGGCCGCAAGGUUAAAACUCAAAUGAAUUGACGGGGGCCCGCACAAGCGGUGGAGCAUGUGGUUUAAUUCGAUGCAACGCGAAGAACCUUACCUACUCUUGACAUCCAGAGANNNNUGCAGAGAUGCGGNAGNGCCUUCGGGAACUNUGAGACAGGUGCUGCAUGG
rnacentral:rRNA from 1 species